rnacentral:sRNA from 1 species
ACGACCAUCUCUCAAGGAAGCAAAGUGUCUUUCAUUAGUUAUGGUAAAUUUUUGUUUGUUUGUUUUCUAAGAAACAAAUCAAGGCAGUUUAAGUUAGCAGCAUUUUCCUUUAUGACUAAAAGGUGGGUUUUCAUAACGUUUUCUUAGGAUGAUGAAAUAGAAAGUGAAGCAAAAAAAGAACCACUUUCUCCUGGAAAAUUGAAACUAACUUUUGAAGAACUGGAGCGACAAAGACAAGAAAACCAAAAGAAGCAAGCUGAAGAGGAAGCAAGAAAACGUUUAGAAGAAGAGAAGCGUGCUUUUGAAGAAGCAAGGCGGCAAAUGGUAAAUGAAGAUGAGGAAAACCAAGACACAGCAAAAAUUUUUAAAGGGUACCGCCCUGGUAAACUCAAACUCAGUUUUGAAGAAAUGGAAAGGCAAAGAAGAGAAGAUGAAAAAAGGAAAGCAGAAGAAGAAGCCAGAAAGAGAAUAGAGGAAGAAAAGAAGGCGUUUGCUGAAGCAAGGAGAAAUAUGGUAGUAGAUGAUGACUCCCCAGAGAUGUAUAAGACAAUCUCUCAAGAAUUUCUUACACCGGGAAAACUGGAAAUUAAUUUUGAAGAAUUAUUAAAACAAAAAAUGGAAGAAGAAAAACGACGAACAGAGGAGGAACGGAAGCAUAAGCUAGAAAUGGAGAAACAAGAAUUUGAACAACUGAGACAGGAAAUGGGAGAGGAAGAGGAAGAAAAUGAAACCUUUGGAUUGAGCAGAGAAUAUGAAGAACUGAUCAAAUUAAAAAGGAGUGGCUCUAUUCAAGCUAAAAACCUAAAAAGCAAGUUUGAAAAAAUUGGACAGUUGUCUGAAAAAGAAAUACAGAAAAAAA